rnacentral:rRNA from 1 species
GAUGAACGCUAGCGGCAGGCUUAAUACAUGCAAGUCGUGGGGCAGCAUGAAUGUAGCAAUACAUUUGAUGGCGACCGGCAAACGGGUGCGGAACACGUACACAACCUUCCUAUAAGUGGGGAAUAGCCCAGAGAAAUUUGGAUUAAUACCCCGUAACAUAAUGAUGUGGCAUCACAUUAUUAUUAUAGCUACGGCGCUUAUUGAUGGGUGUGCGGCUGAUUAGAUAGUUGGCGGGGUAACGGCCCACCAAGUCUACGAUCAGUAGCUGAUGUGAGAGCAUGAUCAGCCACACGGGCACUGGGACACGGGCCCGACUCCUACGGGAGGAAGCAGUAAGGAAUAUUGGUCAAUGGACGCAAGUCUGAACCAGCCAUGCCGCGUGAAGGAUUAAGGUCCUCUGGAUUGUAAACUUCUUUUAUCUGGGACGAAAAAAGGCGAUUCUUCGUCACUUGACGGUACCAGAUGAAUAAGCACCGGCUAACUCCGUGCCAGCAGCCGCCGUAACAC